AUAAUUCCCUUACAAUUAAUGCUUGGUAGAAAAGGGAGUUUGACAUCAUUUACAAUUAUACCAACAUUCAUGGAGGCUAAAUAUUACAGGCAAAAGGGUGUACUCUGACCACAAGACAUCUGUUGAUAAUUCCCAGAUAGCUUUUUCUUUUAGCUAUGAAGGUCAAUUACCAAAGCCAAACUUAGUGAAUAGAAUUUUUAUGUCCAUCCAAUCAAAGAGUCUCAUAGCUUUCUGGGCCUAUUCAUUAGCAGACAGGAGUAGACGCCGUAAUCAGGUUCUUAAACAUUCACACAUCAUGCCCACUCUUCAUAUGCUGUCCAGUUUCUUUAAAAGGAGUGACUCAAAGCAGGGCCACAUAGAUGAGAAAGUGCUGUGUGGAGGAGAUCACAUCCUCAUGCAUCUUCCAUUUCAUCUCUUUGGGGUCCAGGCUUGAUGCAGAGUCCUUGAUCCAGAACAUCACGGCUCUGCCUCACCACUUUUAGUGGUUCUGAUGCAAGUGGUACAUGGAUUGUGCUUUAAUAAACAGGCUUUGCAGCCCAGAAUUUUUAUUCAGUAUUAAAGGUAUUUUAUUAUCAACCAUACAGUAUAGCAGUGAGUUGCAAUAUUCAGCAAAUUGUAAUAUCUCUAUCCCCUAAACAACUUUACUGAUUAGUUGUCAUCCAGGUAAUUUUAAUAAGCUAUAGUUAGUUUUAGUCCUUUAUCUUGCUUAGUGUAAUAUUAGAUGUAAAAUAAAAUCUGAAAAUAGGAAACAACUAACUUCAAAGCUUGAGGAAUAUUUUUGAACAAUGUGUAAACUGGUUUCAUGAUAAAAAUCUAUUAUAUUCAUUUUAUCCAAAUAUAAUCCCAAGAUACAGUGCUAGAGACAAGUUUCUUCAGUUUGGAAAAGACUAUUUAAUCAGUUGAGUAACUUUACUUUGAAAUACUUUCUUAAAAAGCAAGUAAUCUGUCAAACAAAAGUGGAAAGGCUGUUAAAUUGAUCUCACUGAUUAAUCAUUUAAAAUACCCGAAUAUUGGAGUUCCCUGAUGGCACAGCAGGUUAAGCAUUCAGUGUUGUCACUGCUGUGGCUUGGGUUGCCACUGUGGUAUGGUUCUGAUCCUUGGUCUGGUAACCUCCACAUGCCUGAGGUGUGGCUGGAAAAUAAAAUACAUAAAUAUUGAGGUCAGAAGUAGAACGGGAAAGAAUACCUAAUGCUUGGAUCAGUAUGGACCCUGUAUUAAAGAAAUACAGGAUAAUGCAGUUUCGCAGGUUCCUGAUGAAAAGAAGCCCAGUAUGUUGCAGUUUACUUUGAGCUUUGCCAAAAGCUGUUUAAAACGCAAGUUGUACCUCAGUGUGAUUUAGUAUGCAUUAUAAGGCAGACAAAAACAGAAAGCCUGCCUUUAACUAAUGCAUAAUAUAGAAGGCUGGAAGGAACUUAAAACCUGCAUUACCAAUCACAACUAAUUUUAGUGAGAUAGCAUUGCAAGCCUUUUAACAAAAGAGCUUCCUUGUAUCCUUUAUGUGAGUGAUAACCAAAAUGAGUGUCCUCCUGCCCUUGGCAUUAGUCACAGCUUAUCUGAAGUAUGGUGUUCAGUUCCGGGUAUUAAUUUUUAUUCUUAUUUUAUUUAUUUUAUUUAGUUUUGGCUACCCCACGGCAUAUGGAGUUCCCAGGCCAGGGAUCAGAUCUGAGCUGCAGUUGCAGUUACAACAAUGCCAGGCGUUAAUUUUAAUGUGAUAGUCAGAACAAUCAAGAUAGUGAAUUUGUUCAAAAUUAUGGUAAUUGGAACCUCGGAGCAGGAUGGACAAGAGAUGAUGUGGGAGAGAGAAAGGAUUACCUUCUAAUAUGAAUGACUAUGGGGGAAAAAAGCCGUUGAAGAAAUGGCUUUUAAAAUCAUCAACUGCAACAAUAAAUGGACAGGGGUCACUUACAAAGAAGCUGCUGCCCAUGUUAAAAUUAUAACCACCUCUUUAAGAUUUUGGUUAAAGGUCUUAGGAUUAGGUAUAAGAACAUCUUUUCCAGGUUUAAGAUGCUAUUAUUGUACUCUUGGUCCAUGUACUUAGCAAAGGUCAUUUGAAUAGAACUCAAAUGGCCAGCUGCCUUAACCUAGAAAAGAGUUAUUUCACAGCAGUCAAAAUACAAAUAGGAAAUCAGAUUUGGGGAAAAUGGGUGCUGGUUUUCUUUUCCCUCUAAAUAUCACAGUACCGUACAAUCCGCGGAUAGAGAGGAACCACGGAUAUGAAGGACCAACUACAAGUUGAGUGGAUUUUUGACUGCAGAGGAUCGGCUCCCCUGUCUGCCUCACCCCUUAUACUGUCCAAAGGUCAGCCAUACACUUCUAUAAUUCUGUCAUCAGCAUCUUCUGUAUAUGUACAUGCUAUUGAUGAUCUCAUCCAUCUUCUAAGUUUUAAAUACCCCUUUUGUUAAAUUUAUUUCUAAAUCCUUUCUAUAUCCAAACUCCAUUCUUCCUCUUUUUUCUUUCUGCCUCCAAUCUCUACACUAUUCGACCUACAUCCCCCAGAUUAUUCCUCUUAAAGCAUCAAUUUGAUCAUGUUGUUACUACUCUAAAGACCUUCAAGUAGCCCUACGUCACUGUGCUAAAAUGAUAUAAAGUGGUUUCAUCUUCAAGACAUCACUGGGUCGUAGGUGUUCAUUACAUGUGUGCAAACCAGGGUUUGAGGUUAAGUCACAUGCUGUUGCUAUAGUAAAAGGGCAUUUGAAUAUCUCUUCUCGAUCUGAUCUUGAUUCAGAUCUUCAUGAUCCGAAUAUGUCACAUCAUCAGAAAGCUACGUAUGCGGAGAGUCCACUGACGUCAAAGCCCAAGCUUUCAACCUUUAUGCUGUGUACCUCCUACAGACGUGUCUUUUAGUCAAGACUCUUUCUGCGAAAUUUUAAUGCUUAAGACAUGAUGUACAAAUAGAUGUGAAGUAUCUCAACUUUGAUCUCCUCCAAAGACCUACCCAUUAGCCUUUGUUCCCCCAUCUUCCUUCUAAGGAACUUACAGAGUUCUAGCUCUUUCAAAGAUCAAUGAUUAAGGAAAAAAGAAAAUUCCAUCUCCUUUGCUCUGCAUUUUAACCUUACCUGAGCAAGAAGUAAACUUGAUAUCUAAUGUACUAUACCCAGGACAUAGCUGUGUCUCACUGUUAGGAACACUGUGAGGAACUCUGAGCCAAUAUUAAGCGAAGAUUUCACGCAAAAUCCCAAUUUGACUUUUGAAAACCUACAAAAUCUGAUGACAUAAGGCAUGUGUUCCUAUGAUGAGAGUAAUGUCUACUCCUUCUAGAGAAUAAAUUUAAGACAAAGCCUGUUUCGGACAGUUUACCAAAGCCUCUACUAUUCCCUAUUUUUUGCCCUGUGGGCAUUUGGGGUUUUUAUAUUUAAGAUCCUGGACAUUUUACCUAUAGACUCUUCCAGUUUUCAUGUGCAAUCACAUUUGUUAAACUGAGCAGCGACAACCUCUAAAAUUACUGUCAGUUCAAAAAUUCAAUUCUAUAAUCAUGUGUUUUUCUCUUAUACACUAGGAUACUUGAUGUUUCCCACAACUAAGUUAAAGAAUAAUCAUAAAGAAACACCUGGAGUUCCCGUUGUGGCGCAGUGGUUAACAAAUCCGACUAGGAACCAUGAGGUUGCAGGUUCGAUCCUCGCCCUUGCUCAGUGGGUUAAUGAUCCGGCAUUGCCGUGAGCUGUGGUGUAGGUCGCAGAUAUGGCUCGGAUCCUGAGUUGCUGUGGCUCUGGCGUAGGCUGGCAGCUACAGCUCUGAUUCGACCCCUAGCCUGGGAACCUCCAUAUGCCAUGGGAGCGGCCUAAGAAAUGGCAAAAAGCCAAAAAAAAAAAAAAGAAAGAAAGAAAGUAACACCUGAUGCACUUCCUUCUUUGUUGCAAAAGAAAUGUCAGGAAGGAGGCAUGAAAUUUAAGCAAGCUACGGCCUCAAGGGAAUCCUUUAUUUCAGAGCAGAGAUCAAAACCUAUCUGCUGAAAAUCUUACAGUAACUUUAAAGCUGCCUGCUUGUCUUCCUCUCUGCUCUUUGGUUGAACUAAAAGAGGAGGAGGGAGAAGAAAAGGCUGUGGGAGUUGAAGAGAACGAAGAUGGGCUGUAAGGAAAAUACGAUGUUCUAGAUGGAAAAAUCCUUAACUGUGUGGGUUCUUAAUCUUUUUAUGCAAUAGCGCACAUCAAAAAAGAUUUUAAAAAGCAGAGGGCUUAGUAUAAAGUGAAGUGGAAGGGAAGCUACAACUAAAUUUUUCAUUGAAGCCAAAUUUAUGAGUUCCAGUCCCUGAUCAGAUGCAGUGCAGCAAGCACCCUCCUCCCUGCCAUUCCCACAGAUUUCAGCUAUAAAAUCUGGAUAAAAUGCAUAGAACAGCCCUUCGAGGACCCUGAACAGUAAGUAGCAGGCAGAUUGGAGAAAACCAGAACCGAGGCAUCAUCAAACCUACAGUUUUAACAUAUUUCCCCUUUCAGCAGUAAAUUCUGCUUAGCCCUGCACAUGAGUACAGUCUUUGAAGUGUGUGGCAGAAUGCAAUAACUAAAGCCCCAGAUUUCUGACCAGCAGAUUGAAAAGGAGAGUCAUAAGAAACUGGAACCUAAGAAGCAGACAGGGAAGAGGAAGGAGCUAGGCAAAUGACCUCAUAAAGACAUUUAUGAAUACUACUAUAAUAAUAAUUAUUUUCUGGGGCUCAACUCCAACUUAAUUUUAUGAGGCCUAGAUU
rnacentral:lncRNA from 1 species